UGCAGGCUGCAACCCGCCUGCAUGAAGCCGGAAUCGCUAGUAAUCGCGGAUCAGAAUGCCGCGGUGAAUACGUUCCCGGGUCUUGUACACACCGCCCGUCACACCAUGGGAGCCGGGAAUGCCCGAAGUCAGUGGCCCAACCGAAAGGGGGAGCUGCCGAAGGCAGGCCUGGUGACUGGGGUGAAGUCGUAACAAGGUAUC
rnacentral:rRNA from 1 species